CUCAGUUCUCCGUUCUGCUUUUCCCUGCUCCCGCGUUACUCAUGUUGGAUUUACAUUUCUGUUUUAUGUAUAGAUGCAGUUGCACCUGUGCAGUCUGAGUCACACAGUUCCAGUUUGUUUUUAACCGUAUCUGUUUGUGGACUUUGCUCUUUACUCGAUUUCUUUCUUCCUGCGUGUUUCCUGUUUGUGUCUCACUGCUUCCCUCACAUCUCCCUCAGCAGCCUUUUCCUGCAUUACUUCUUAACAAAAGUUUCAUUUCUUGGUCAUGGAUGAUUUCGUAAGAAACAAACUGGUUGAAUGGGGGCUAAGUGAGUGGGUGGAAAAAUUUAAAGGUAAAGUAUUAACGUGAAUCCGUGAUGGGUACAGAUAUUGAUUCUGAUGUGAUCUGUUAACUGUAAAACAGAUCAUAGAACUGUGCUGAUUGCUUUUUCACUCAUUAACAAGAAUUUCUGAAGCAAGUUGAGAAUAAACUUUAUCUCUGCAACUUUUUUUAAUAAAAGAUGAACAAAUUGAUGCGGAAAGUCUGUAUGAGCUUGAUGAUCGAGAAAUUGAUAAUUUGAUCCCAAAAGCUGGACCAAGAGUGAAAUUCAAGAAGAACCUCAAGCUGUUAAAGG